rnacentral:rRNA from 1 species
CUUCGGGUGAGUGGCGGACGGGUGAGUAACGCGUGGGAACGUGCCCUUUGGUUCGGAACAACACAGGGAAACUUGUGCUAAUACCGAAUGUGCCCUUCGGGGGAAAGAUUUAUCGCCAUUGGAGCGGCCCGCGUUGGAUUAGCUAGUUGGUAGGGUAAAAGCCUACCAAGGCUACGAUCCAUAGCUGGUCUGAGAGGAUGAUCAGCCACACUGGGACUGAGACACGGCCCAGACUCCUACGGGAGGCAGCAGUGGGGAAUUGUUCGCAAUGGGCGCAAGCCUGACGACGCAACGCCGCGUGGAGGAUGAAGAAUUUCGGU